rnacentral:rRNA from 1 species
ACACGACUACAUUAGAUACCCGCGUAGUCCCAGCCCUAAACGAUGCGCGUUAGGUGUAUCGGUGACCACGAGUCACCGAGGUGCCGAAGGGAAACCGUGAAACGUGCCGCCUGGGAAGUAUGGUCGCAAGGCUGAAACUUAAAGGAAUUGGCGGGGGAGCACAACAACGGGUGGAGCUUGCGGUUUAAUUGGAUUCAACGCCGGAAAUCUUACCGGGACCGACAGCAACAUGAAGGCCAAGCUGAAGACUUUGCCGGAUUAGCUG